AUUAAACGCUGGCGGCAUGCCUUACACAUGCAAGUCGAACGGCAGCACGGGGGCAACCCUGGUGGCGAGUGGCGGACGGGUGAGUAAAGCAUCGGAACGUAUCCUGGAGUGGGGGAUAACGUAGCGAAAGUUACGCUAAUACCGCAUAUUCUGUGAGCAGGAAAGCAGGGGAUCGCAAGACCUUGCGCUCUGGGAGCGGCCGAUGUCGGAUUAGCUAGUUGGUGGGGUAAAGGCCUACCAAGGCGACGAUCCGUAGCGGGUCUGAGAGGAUGAUCCGCCACACUGGGACUGAGACACGGCCCAGACUCCUACGGGAGGCAGCAGUGGGGAAUUUUGGACAAUGGGCGCAAGCCUGAUCCAGCCAUGCCGCGUGAGUGAAGAAGGCCUCGGGUUGUAAAGGCUCUUUUCGGUCGGGGGAAGGAAAGUUAGCACGGGUUAAUACCCUGUGUAGAUGACGGUA
rnacentral:rRNA from 1 species